AUGCAACAGCCCUCGAACUCACCCGAUAUGAAUUGCCUAGACCUUGGCCUAUUUUCUUCACUACAGUCCAUAUUGGAUACGCUGGUGUCUAACAAUUUAGAUGAGCUAAUCAACAAUGUGCAGCAUGAAUAUGAUGCCUAUGAUGCUAAUAAGAUAAACAUAAUUUUCCUAACACUACAAGGAUGCUUAAUUGAGGCCAUGAAGAGAGGUGGAGGCAACGACUACAAGAUCCUUCACAUGUACAAGGAUGGCCUAGAACGGGCAGGAAAUCUUCCUAAUGUUUUAGACUAUGAUCGCGAACUAUAUGAGAGCGUCAUGCAGCCAACUAGAAGUUGUAAUAUUAGAUGCGGCAACUUUUGUAAUGCUGGACAUUGGGUUGAAAUUGUUUAUCCAAGUACUAUUGAGUUCAUCAUUUGUUUAUCCAAUUAUUUAUCCGACUUAUAA
rnacentral:rRNA from 1 species